AAUGAACGUUGGCGGCAUGGAUUAGGCAUGCAAGUCGAGCGAGAAGUGUAGCAAUACACGGAAAGCGGCGGAAGGGAGAGUAAUACGUGGGAAUCUGCCCUUAGACCUGGGAUAGCAGCGGGAAACUGCUGGUAAUACCAGAUAAUGUCUAUGGACCAAAGGUGUGAUUCCGUCUAGGGAUGAGCCCACGUCCUAUUAGCUAGUUGGUAGGGUAAUGGCCUACCAAGGCGAUGAUGGGUAGCGGGUGUGAGAGCAUGACCCGCCUCACUGGGACUGAAACACUGCCAAGACACCUACGGGUGGCUGCAGGCGAGAAUCUUCGGCAAUGGGCGCAAGCCUGACCGAGCGAUGCCGCGUGCGGGAUGAAGGCCUUCGGGUUGUAAACCGCUGUCGAGGGGGAGCAACUUCCAUAGAGUUAUCUUUAUGGAUUGAGUGAUCCCUGGAGGAAGGACGGGCUAAGUUCGUGCCAGCCGCCGCAGUAAUAC
rnacentral:rRNA from 1 species